AUUCUAGUUCUAUUCUGUAAAAAUAAUUCUGUACAAACAGAAUUGUUGUAUUAUAAAUGUUGUUCAGUUUAACUUUUCAAACAAGCUAAUUCGUUUGCAAUUACUUUGAGACUCACCAAGCCCAAUCUAGAGUAGACAUUAGUUUUAUCUCACGCCUUGCUGGCAGCCGCAGUAUGGGGAUUCGAUUCCUGAGAUAUGGAAUUAGACUCCUUGUAGGCGCAGUGUAUAUGCAACUCUUGUUCCCUGACCUGUUGGGAGCACAUCCCUCAAUUUACCUCCCUCACAAAGCUUUAGGGGUGGGGCGGUGAAGGCCCUCAAGGUUGAGGUUCAACCUUUAGAGUAGACAUUAGUUUUUGUUUCUUAUGUAGUACUUUCACUAGGCAGCAGCACCCAGUUUUGUGUGAUGCGGCGCCACCACGCUGCUCAAAAUUUC
rnacentral:lncRNA from 1 species